rnacentral:rRNA from 1 species
UACGUAGGGUGCGAGCGUUGUCCGGAAUUAUUGGGCGUAAAGAGCUCGUAGGCGGUUUGUCGCGUCUGCUGUGAAAACUCGGGGGCUUAACCCCCGGGCCUGCAGUGGGUACGGGCAGACUAGAGUGCGGUAGGGGAGACUGGAAUUCCUGGUGUAGCGGUGAAAUGCGCAGAUAUCAGGAGGAACACCGGUGGCGAAGGCGGGUCUCUGGGCCGUAACUGACGCUGAGGAGCGAAAGCGUGGGGAGCGAACAGG